AUUGAACGCUGGCGGCAUGCUUUACACAUGCAAGUCGAACGGCAGCGCGGGGCCACCUGGCGGCGAGUGGCGAACGGGUGCGUAAUAUAUCGGAACGUACCCAGAAGUGGGGGAUAACGUAGCGAAAGUUACGCUAAUACCGCAUACGAUCUACGGAUGAAAGUAGGGGACCGAAAGGCCUUAUGCUUUUGGAGCGGCCGAUAUCUGAUUAGCUAGUUGGUGAGGUAAAGGCUCACCAAGGCGACGAUCAGUAGCUGGUCUGAGAGGACGACCAGCCACACUGGAACUGAGACACGGUCCAGACUCCUACGGGAGGCAGCAGUGGGGAAUUUUGGACAAUGGGCGCAAGCCUGAUCCAGCAAUGCCGCGUGAGUGAAGAAGGCCUUCGGGUUGUAAAGCUCUUUUGUCAGGGAAGAAACGGUAGAGGCUAAUAUCCUUUGCUAAUGACGGUACCUGAAGAAUAAGCACCGGCUAACUACGUG
rnacentral:rRNA from 1 species